rnacentral:rRNA from 1 species
AUUGAACGCUGGCGGCAUGCCUUACACAUGCAAGUCGAACGGCAGCACGGGAGCUUGCUCCUGGUGGCGAGUGGCGAACGGGUGAGUAAUACAUCGGAACGUACCCUGAAGUGGGGGAUAACGUAGCGAAAGUUACGCUAAUACCGCAUAUUCUGUGAGCAGGAAAGAGGGGGAUCGCAAGACCUCUUGCUUUAGGAGCGGCCAAUGUCGGAUUAGCUAGUUGGUGAGGUAAAGGCUCACCAAGGCGACGAUCCGUAGCGGGUCUGAGAGGAUGAUCCGCCACACUGGGACUGAGACACGGCCCAGACUCCUACGGGAGGCAGCAGUGGGGAAUUUUGGACGAAAUAGGGCGGCAAGACCUGUAUCCACGCCACUGCCGCCGUGAGUAGAAGAAGGACCUCGUGUAGUA